UAUUUUGAUUGUGCAAAGGUAGCAUAAUAAUUAGUUUUUUAAUUGAGAACUGGUAUGAAUGGUUGGACGAAAAAAAAACUGUCUCAAUUUAAUUUAAUUAGAAUUUUAUUUUUAAGUUAAAAAGCUUAAAUAUAUUUAAAAGACGAGAAGACCCUAUAGAGUUUUAUAGUAUAUUUAUUAUUUAUAAAUUAAAGAAUUUUAUUUAUUAUAUUAGGGUAUAUUAUUUAAUUGGGGUGAUUGGAAAAUUUAAUAAACUUUUUUUUAUUAUAAACAUUAAUUUAUGAAUUAUUGAUCC
rnacentral:rRNA from 1 species